AAAGCUCAAAUUUGAAACCCUCGGGAUUGUAAUUUGAAGAUUUGGCAUUGGAGAAAGCUAACCCAAGUUGCUUGGAAUAGUACGUCAUAGAGGGUGACAACCCCGUCUGGCUAACCGUUCUCCAUGUAUUGCCUUAUCAAAGAGUCGAGUUGUUUGGGAAUGCAGCUCAAAGUGGGUGGUAAACUCCAUCUAAAGCUAAAUACUGGUGAGAGACCGAUAGCGAACAAGUACUGUGAAGGAAAGGUGAAAAGAACUUUGAAAAGAGAGUGAAAUAGUAUGUGAAAUUGUUGAUAGGGAAGGAAAUGAGUGGAGAGUGGCCGAGGUUUCAGCCGCCCCUCGUGGGCGGUGUACUGCCGACGCCGAGUCAUCGAUAGCGAGACGAGGGUUACAAAUGGGAGCGCCUUUCGGGCGUUCUCCCCUAAC
rnacentral:rRNA from 1 species